rnacentral:rRNA from 1 species
CAGUAGCCGCGGUAAUACGAAGGGUGCAAGCGUUAAUCGGAAUUACUGGGCGUAAAGCGUGCGUAGGCGGUGAGUUAAGUCUGCUGUGAAAUCCCCGGGCUCAACCUGGGAAUGGCAGUGGAUACUGGCUCGCUAGAGUGUGUAAGAGGAUGGUGGAAUUCCCGGUGUAGCGGUGAAAUGCGUAGAUAUCGGAAGGAACACCUGUGGCGAAAGCGGCUCACUGGACCAUAACUGACGCUGAUGCACGAAAGCUAGGGGAGCAAACAGGAUUAGAUACCCCGGUAGUCCCUGUCUCUUAUAC